UUUCCGCCUGUGCGGCUCGCCGGCUCAGUCCUCCGGUGGUCUGGGUCGGGGCUCAAACGCCGGGCUCUGGGACACAGGCACUGCUCCGGGUGAUAGUGCGGGAACAUGGCCUUGCAGCUGGGGAGGCUGAGCACAGGCCCCUGCUGGCGCGUGGCACGGGGCGGCUGCGGAGGGCUCCGCGCCUGGUCCCAAUGUAGCGGUGGAGGGCUCCGAGCCUGGUUCCAGCGCAGCGCAGCCGGACGCAUCUGCCGCCCCGCUGGCCCGGCUGGCACGGAGCAGAGCCGCGGGCUGGGGCACGGCUCGACGGCGAGAGGCGGCCCCUGGGUGGGGACAGGGCGGGCCGCGGCGCUGGCGGGGUUGGUGGGGUUGGCCGCCGUCGCCUUCGGGCAUGUGCAGCGGGCGGAGAUGGUGCCCAAGAGCUCGGGGACGCGAGCCACUUCGCUGGGGAGGCCGGAGGAAGAGGAUGAGCUGGCCUGCCGCUGCAGCAGCUUCAUGGCUCCGCCUGUGACCGACCUGGGCGAGCUGCGAAGGAGGCCGGGCGACAUGAAGACCAAGAUGGAACUGCUGAUCCUGGAGACCCAGGCCCAGGUGUGCCAGGCUCUGGCACAGGUAGACGGGGGCGCCAGCUUUUCUGUGGACCGGUGGGAGAGGAAGGAAGGAGGUGGCGGCAUCAGCUGUGUACUUCAAGAUGGGUGUGUUUUCGAAAAGGCUGGGGUGAGCAUUUCUGUUGUUCAUGGAAAUCUUUCAGAGGAAGCUGCAAAACAAAUGAGAAGCAGAGGAAAAGUUCUGAAGACUAAAGAUGGUAAAUUGCCAUUUUGUGCUAUGGGCGUGAGCUCUGUUAUCCACCCCAAGAAUCCUCAUGCUCCUACUAUCCAUUUCAACUACAGAUACUUUGAAGUAGAAGAAGCUGAUGGUAAGGGUCUCAGGAGCUAUGGAAAGUACUGUUGUGCAAAAUGUGCAUUUUAAAACAGAUAAGAGGGCAUAACAUCUAAAAGUGAGAAAGAAUAGUCUUAAUUAGGUCUUUCA
rnacentral:sRNA from 1 species